UUUUUUAACGGCCGCGGUACUCUGACCGUGCAAGGGUAGCAUAAUCAUUUGCCUUAUAAGUGAGGGCUAAUGUGAAUGGUUUGACGAGAAUACGACUGUCUCUUUGCAAUUUAAUAAAAUUUUAUCUUUAUGUGAAAAAGCCUUAAUUGAAUUAAAAGACAAAAAGACCCUAUCGAGCUUUAAAAGAAUUGGUGGAUUUGAUUUUUAUUUAUAAAAAAUAUGGCUUUCUAACUUUUUGGUUGGGGCGACUACCGAACAUAAAAAGCUUCCUUUACAUACGUGUUGAUCCAUGAUUAAAGAAAUUAGUUACCGUAGGGAUAACAGCAUUAUCCCUUUUGAGAGUUCUAAUCGAAAAAGGGGUUUGUGACCUCGAUGUUGGACCAGAAUGUCCUAAAGAUGCAGAAGUCUUUAAGGGUUGGUCUGUUCGACCAUUAAAAUUCUA
rnacentral:rRNA from 1 species